CCCUUACCGUGCGACGAGACCCGCCCCGCCCCGUCCUCACUGUCCGUCUCUAUGACAACAGAACGCAGCGGCGACCGGAUCCAGUGCUGAGGGAGAAGUCUUGAUAUCUGAGGACGCGGAUGGAUCCAGGAGGGGGUCUCCAGGAGCCGCGCCUCCCAGCCAAUCCUGCAUCCAGAGAGAAGAGUCAGGAGAUGUGGAGUCGUCUGAGGAGGAAAUAUCACAGCGCUGUCACCCAGG